GUGUGUGUAAGUCUAUGUCUGUCUGUCUUGCUUCUCUUUUUCUGUGAAUAUGGCUCCUUCCAUCCAAGUGAGGACAAGAUUCAUGCGGCAGAGAUGUCUGCAAACAGCUCUAGGCUUAUGUUAUUCCACCACCAAGCAGAUAAGAUGAAUUCAGGUACUGAAAACUGCCAAAAGAAGAUAAAGGUAAUGGGGCGGAAUGUGAUUGGGAGAGGGAUGUGCUGCCUUUGCUCACGUGAAGAGGCCCUUCUGAAGAGAUGACACUUGGGUUGAGAUGUUUGUCACUGGUUUAUUAAGAUGUCUUGAUUGAGGUAUAAAUAUGAAAUCAUUUGAUUUCUUGCCAUUCCUAUCCCAACUAUGCUAUCCCUAUAGCAUAGUCCCUCAGAACAUAGACCUUUAUAGACUCUGGUGAAGUAUAUGAGUUAAGGUCCAUCCAAAAGACAAACAGCACUAUCAGUAUUUGAAAGGGGCUGGGCACAGUAGCUCACACCUGUAAUCCCAGCAUGUUGGGGGCUGAAGAGGGGGAUCGCUUGAAGCCAGGAGUUCAAGACCAGUCUGGGCAACAUUGUGAGACCCGCAUCUCUACAAAAAAAAAUUUUUUUUAAAUUAACUGGGUGUGGAGGCACGUGCCUGUAGUCCUAGCUGCUCAGGAGGCUCAGACAGGAGGAUUGCUUGAGCACAGGAGCUCAAGGCUGCAAUAAGCUAUGAUGGCACCACUGCACUCCAGCCUGGGUGGCAGAAUGAGACCCUGUGUAUAAGGGGAAAAAAAAGUAUCUGAAACAGACAGAAUUUGAUGCAGACAACUAGUUACAUGGGUGAUGGAAAAGGUGAGAAACUGAACAGAGGACAGUAAGACUACCCAGAUUUUGUCAGAAGAGGGGCAAAUGGAGGAGGAUGUGUGACCAGAGCCUAGAAACUAUGAAAAAAGGGUGAA
rnacentral:lncRNA from 1 species